GAUGAAGAACGUAGCGAAAUGCGAUACGUAAUGUGAAUUGCAGAAUUCAGUGAAUCAUCGAAUCUUUGAACGCAUAUUGCGCUCUCUGGUAUUCCGGAGAGCAUGCUUGUUUGAGUAUCAGUAAACACCUCAACUUCCAUAUCUUUUUUGAAAUGGGAGUUGGACUUGAGUGAUCCCAACGCUUUUCCUCACCGAAAAGUGGCGGGUUACUUGAAAUGCAGGUGCAGCUGGACAUUCUCCUGAGCUAAAAGCAUAUUUAUUUAGUCCCGUCAAACGGAUUAUUACUUUUGCUGCAGCUAAUAUAAAGGGAGUUUGACCGUAUUGGCUGACUGAUGCAGGAUUUCACAAAGGUCGGCAACGAUCCUUGUAAAACUCGAUCUCAAAUCAAGUAAGACUACCCGCUGAACUUAAGCAUAUCAAUAAGCGGAGGA
rnacentral:misc_RNA from 1 species